rnacentral:rRNA from 1 species
GCCGGACCUGACUGCUAUCGGAUUGAUACUAAGCCAUGCGAGUCUUUGCAGUAAUGCAAGGCAUACGGCUCAGUAACACGUAGUCAACCUACCCUAUGGACGAGAAUAAUCUCGGGAAACUGAGCAUAAUUCUUGAUAGAUCAUAAUGCCUGGAAUGGUUUAUGGUUAAAAUGAUUCGUCGCCAUAGGAUGGGACUGCGGCCUAUCAGCUUGUUGGUGAGGUAAUGGCCCACCAAGGCGAUUACAGGUACGGGCUCUGAGAGGAGAAGCCCGGAGAUGGGUACUGAGACACGGACCCAGGCCCUAUGGGGCGCAGCAGGCGAGAAAACUUUGCAAUGUGCGAAAGCACGACAAGGUUAAUCCGAGUGAUUUCUGCUAAAGAAAUCUUUUGUCAGUCAUAAAACCACUGACGAAUAAGGGGUGGGCAAGUUCUGGUGUCAGCCGCCGCGGUAAAACCAGCACCUCAAGUGGUCAGGAUGAUUAUUGGGCCUAAAGCAUCCGCAGCCGGCUUUGUUAGUUUUCGGUUAAAUCCAUGUGCUCAACACAUGGGCUGCCGAAAAUACUGCAUGGCUAGGGAGUGGGAGAGGUAGACGGUACUCAGUAGGAAGGGGUAAAAUCCUUUGAUCUAUUGAUGACCACCUGUGGCGAAGGCGGUCUACCAGAACACGUUCGACGGUGAGGGAUGAAAGCUGGGGGAGCAAACCGGAUUAGAUACCCGGGUAGUCCCAGCUGUAAACGAUGCAGACUCGAUGAUGCAUUGGCAUAAUAGCCAGUGCAGUGUCGCAGGGAAGCCGUUAAGUCUGCCGCCUGGGAAGUACGUACGCAAGUAUGAAACUUAAAGGAAUUGGCGGGGGAGCACCACAAGGGGUGAAGCCUGCGGUCAAU